GAUGAACGCUAGCUACAGGCUUAACACAUGCAAGUCGCGGGGCAGCAUGUCGGUUGCUUGCAACCGAUGAUGGCAACCGGCGCACGGGUGAGUAACGCGUAUCCAACCUGCCCUUCACCACGGAAUAAUCCAGUGAAAAUUGGUCUAAUACCGUAUGAGGUCAUACGAUGGCAUCAGAAUAUGACGAAAGGUUUGGCGGUAAAGGAUGGGGAUGCGUCUGAUUAGCUUGUUGGUGAGGUAACGGCUCACCAAGGCGACGAUCAGUAGGGGUUCUGAGAGGAAGGUCCCCCACAUUGGAACUGAGACACGGUCCAAACUCCUACGGGAGGCAGCAGUGAGGAAUAUUGGUCAAUGGGCGAGAGCCUGAACCAGCCAAGUAGCGUGCAGGAAGACGGCCCUAUGGGUUGUAAACUGCUUUUAUAUGGGGAUAAAGUGAGCUACGUGUAGUUUAUUGCAGGUACCAUAUGAAUAAGGACCGGCUAAUUCCGUGCCAGCCGCCGCAGUAA
rnacentral:rRNA from 1 species